rnacentral:rRNA from 1 species
GACGAACGCUGGCGGCGUGCUUAACACAUGCAAGUCGAACGGAAAGGCCCUGCUUUUGUUGGGUUCUCGAUUGGCGAACGCGUGAGUAACACGUGAGUAACCUGCCCUUGACUUUGUGAUAACUUCAGGAAACUGGGGCUAAUACCGCAUAGGAGCUCCUGCUGCAUGGUGGGGGUUGGAAAGUUUCGGCGGUUGGGGAUGGACUCGCGGCUUAUCAGCUUGUUUGUGGGGUAGUGGCUUACCAAGGCUUUGACGGGUAGCCGGCCUGAGAGGGUGACCGGCCACAUUGGGACUGAGAUACGGCACAGACUCCGACGGGAGGCAGCAGUGGGGAAUAUUGCCGAAUGGGCGGAAGCCUGAUGCAGAAACGCCGCGUGCGGGAUAACGGCCUUCGGGUUGUAAACCGAUUUCGCAUGUGACGAAGAGGGAGUGACGGUAAUGGGUAAAGAAGCAACGGCUAACUACGUG